AACGAUGAAACCGCCCUCGGGCGGACAUGAAGUGGCGAACGGGUGAGUAACACGUGACCAACCUGCCCCUUGCUCCGGGACAACCUUGGGAAACCGAGGCUAAUACCGGAUACUCCUCGCCCCCCUCCUGGGGGGCCCGGGAAAGCCCAGACGGCAAGGGAUGGGGUCGCGGCCCAUUAGGUAGUAGGCGGGGUAACGGCCCACCUAGCCCGCGAUGGGUAGCCGGGUUGAGAGACCGACCGGCCACAUUGGGACUGAGAUACGGCCCAGACUCCUACGGGAGGCAGCAGUGGGGAAUUUUGCGCAAUGGGGGAAACCCUGACGCAGCAACGCCGCGUGCGGGACGACGGCCUUCGGGUUGUAAACCGCUUUCAGCAGGGAAGAAAUUCGACGGUACCUGCAGAAGAAGCUCCGGCUAACUACGUGCCAGCAGCCGCGGUAAUACGUAGGGAGCGAGCGUUAUCCGGAUUCAUUGGGCGUAAAGAGCGCGUAGGCGGCCUCUCAAGCGGGAUCUCUAAUCCGAGGGCUCAACCCCCGGCCGGAUCCCGAACUGGGAGGCUCGAGUUCGGUAGAGGCAGGCGGAAUUCCCGGUGUAGCGGUGGAAUGCGCAGAUAUCGGGAAGAACACCGAUGGCGAAGGCAGCCUGCUGGGCCGCAAC
rnacentral:rRNA from 1 species